rnacentral:rRNA from 1 species
UUCCGCGGCCGCCCCCCCGAUUUUUGGGGGGUGGCUAGUGCCCGCCAGAGGACUAUCAAACUCCAGUCAGUAAACGUUGCAGUCUGAAAAAAAUAUUAAAUAAACUUAAAACUUUCAACAACGGAUCUCUUGGUUCUGGCAUCGAUGAAGAACGCAGCGAAAUGCGAUAAGUAAUGUGAAUUGCAGAAUUCAGUGAAUCAUCGAAUCUUUGAACGCACAUUGCGCCCCUUGGUAUUCCGGGGGGCAUGCCUGUUCGAGCGUCAUUUCAACCCUCAAGCUCUGCUUGGUAUUGGGCACCGUCCUUUGCGGGCGCGCCUCAAAGACCUCGGCGGUGGCGUCUUGCCUCAAGCGUAGUAGAAUACACCUCGCUUCGGAGCGUAAGGCGUCGCCCGCCGGACGAACCUUCUGAACUUUUCUCAAGGU